rnacentral:rRNA from 1 species
UACGGAGGGUGCUAGCGUUGUUCGCAAUUACUGGGCGUAAAGAGCACGUAGGCGGCUUGGAAAGUUGGAAGUGAAAGCCCGAGGCUUAACCUCGGAAUUGCUUUCAAAACUUCCAGGCUUGAGAAUGGUAGAGGACAGUGGAAUUCCUAGUGUAGAGGUGAAAUUCGUAGAUAUUAGGAGGAACACCAGAGGCGAAGGCGACUGUCUGGGCCAUUUCUGACGCUGAGGUGCGAAAGCGUGGGGAGCAAACAGG